UAGACUCUCGGUAUUUCUGCGUCUUAAGGUUUUAACCAAUCAACUUUACCGCGUUAAAAUGUCCUUGUCUGAAUCUGUCGCUAAGACUGAAUGACUUCCUGUGACGUCAAACCUAUCAAAUUUACGCGCUCAAAAUAGAGGCGGGCCCAGCGGCGCGUCAUUCGUAUUAUAUAAACGGGGACCGCGGCGAUAUUUCUUUCUUUUCACUUCUAUUAGAUAGUCGCUGGAUGUAUAUGUAUUCUGUGUAAAAUGUUUUUAGCGGUAUUUGCUACCACAUUAAAAUCUUUUCAGUCGUAUUUAUUAUGGCUCGGACCCGGACUAAAAAAUGAUGGUUUUGCACAUAGAGACGAAACAUGAAACUGAAAGAGGCUUUACAGGUUAAGAGGAACACUUUUCCGUUUGAGGAUUUAGUUGCCUAAAGCUUCUCCAGUGGGUAGCUGCUUAAGGAUGGGAGAUCACUGUCUGGAAUGAUACAGGGACUACAUAAUACAUAAGGAAAUAACUGCAUCAUGGAGAGAAACAUCAAUUGUGAUGGCCGGAGUCUGAAUCUCAAAAUGGCUUUCUAUGCUUGGGAAGAUGUUGAAUGUUUAAAUCCUUUUUAAAUGCAAUGUCUGUGCAUAGAGUGGUUACAUUUGUUGGAGGGCUGAAUAAAAUGGUUUGUGGGGGAUGGGAUUUGUCAUUUUUGUCUAAU